ACAUUAUUAUUUUAUUACAUUAUUAUUAUAUUUUUUUUUUUUUUUUUUAAUGUUGUUGUUUCGGUAAAAACAAAACUAUAAAAUUAUUUAUUGUCCUUUUAUAAAAAAAUUAAUUUUAUUAAUAUUUCUUUUUGUUUAUAUGUACUUUUUUUUUUUUUUUUUUUUUUAUAUACAUCAUUUGCAUUUUUCAGGUUUUUCAUAUUUUAUAAUAAAUUUAAAAUCAUUUUAAAAUAGAUAAAAUGUAUCAAAGAUAUACGUUUUUAUUAUAACAUAAGUAUAUUAAAGCCUUUUUUUCAUUCUUUUUUUUUAUAAGUUAACAUUAAAAAAAUUAACUUUUUAAUUUUUUCUAAAUAUAAAAAAAACUAAAAGUAUAUUUUUAUUUACUUAUAAAAACUAUUUGAAAUAAAAAUUUUGAAAUAGAAACCCACAUAUUGGUUUAGGUAUAUAUAGUUAGAUAUAUAACUAAGCUGUUAGAUAAAUAAUUAGUUAGGUAGUUAGAUAGAUGACUAAUUAAUUACAUAAAUAGAGUGAAUAAAAAUUAUUGAAAAUAAAUAAGCAAUAAACUGUUAAUAAUAUAUAGUGCUCCUAAAAAAAAAAACAAAAAAAAAAAAAACGCAGAGACAAAAAAAUGACUAAAAUCAAUAUUAAAAAUGAGAAAAACAUGUAUUUAAUGGAUACAUUCAAAUUAUAUAACCCAGAUAGAGAAAAUACCGUAUCAAUUGUUAACGAAAAUGAUUAUGAAUGUCUACCACACUCCAUUUAUGUAGAUCGAAGAAAUGUUGAUAUAUUUAAUGUUGAUGUGGCAAAGUAUCAAAAGAGCGAAUACAAAAGAAUUUUUAAUUUAAAUUCACCACAAGUUAUAAACGAACCAAAAUUUGCUGCAGAACCAUCAUACGUCGAAAAAUCAUCAGUAACCAUUUUUUUUUUUUUUUUUUACUUAAUCGUAAAUCGUUUCAUUUGUUUAUUCAAAGGACCAUGUUUUUUUUUUUUAAUGUUUCCUAUAUAUAUACAUGUACAUAUACAUAUACGUAUACAUAUAUUUAUUUUACGCUUGUUAUUUUAUUUUUUUUGGGGAUUUUUGUAGGAUACUGAAAGUGUAAAAAAUGAAAGUGACGAUGACAAUUUAUUGGUUCCAAAAAUAUACUUAAUUUUGAGUUUUUUUUUACCCUUUAUAGGUUUGUUUAAAAAAAAAAUAAUAAUUGAAUAUGUGCGUUAUGUACACACAUUGUUUUGCGUUGUAUAUACAUAUAUAUAUAUAUAUCUACUAUUUAUGUGUUGUGUAAGUACUACAAAUGUGACGUACACAUGUAUAUAAUUUUUUUUUUUUUUUAAUAUACAUUUAU
ensembl:lncRNA